rnacentral:ncRNA from 16 species
AGGUAUACAUAACUCCUAGCCUUUACGCCUAAGUGGCCCGUCAUGAGCCAUAGGGGGUUCUGGCCGUGGCGAAGCCACCAGGGUGCAGGGUAGAAAUGCCGGCAUCUCCCGUAUUUGGAAAGGUGUUACUGUGUCACAACU